rnacentral:rRNA from 1 species
UACGAAGGGGGCUAGCGUUGUUCGGAAUUACUGGGCGUAAAGGGCGCGUAGGCGGCUCUGAUCGUCGGAUGUGAAAGGCCUGGGCUCAACCUGGGAAUGGCAUCCGAUACGGCGGGGCUGGAGUGUGGGAGAGGUUGGUGGAAUUCCCAGUGUAGAGGUGAAAAUUCGUAGAUAUUGGGAAGAACACCGGUGGCGAAGGCGGCCAACUGGACCACAACUGACGCUGAGGCGCGAAAGCUAGGGGAGCGAACGGG